rnacentral:rRNA from 1 species
AUUGAACGCUGGCGGCAGGCCUAACACAUGCAAGUCGAACGAGUGGCGGACGGGUGAGUAAUGUCUGGGAAACUGCCCGAUGGAGGGGGACAAUUACUGGAAACGGUAGCUAAUACCGCAUACCAUCAGAUGUUCCCAGAUGGGAUUAGCUAGGAGGUGGGGUAACGGCUCACCUAGGCGACGAUCCCUACCUGGUCUGAAAGGAUGACCUGCCACAAUUGAACUGAGACACGGUCCAGACUCGUACGGGAGGCAGCAGUGGGGAAUAUUGCACGAUGGGCGCAAGCAUAAUGCAGCCAGGCCGCGUGUAUGAAGAAGGACUUCGGGUUGUAAAAUACUUUCAGUGAGGAGGCGUUACCUGCAGAAGAAGCACCGGCUAACUACGUGCCAGCAGCCGCGGUAAUAC